rnacentral:lncRNA from 1 species
GGAAUGUUGGAUCAGCAUGCAAAUCUUUGACACCACUCAACUUAACGUGGGCUCACGCAGAUGGCAUAUGGAGACAAGCAAGGCUACAGAAGGUGGAAUUCAAUUUUCUUGCCUCCUGUUGUGAAAAGAACAUCUAGUCUUGUUUUGGUAAAAUAACCCUUCCAAAUAAGCAAAUGUAUUUGGUUCUAGGAGCGUGUUUUUCUCUGCAGAAUAGUUUGUGUCUUCCUGCUCUCUGCGUAAAGUUAAUAGAAAUUGCUUGUCAUAAACAUUUCAAGUAUGAAAGAUAUUGUCACAAUGUAUCGGAAUUCUUUCUUAUUUUAAUUUUCUCCUAGAGGUUUCUUUUUAAAUUUAAUUUAACUCUUAGAGUGAUAGAGUAUUGUUUUUUCUCUGGCAUUCUUAAUAGUAAGCUAUUCUUACUUUUAAAAAGUAUACUGUCACAUAUUUCUUUGCCAUUAAAAGGAACACUCUAAGCACCAUAACCACUACUGUGCGCAGUAGUCGUUCUGGUAAUAGGGGUGCACUGGUGCCCCCAUGACUGAACAUCUUUGGAGGCAGGCAGUUGAACCCCGCUUGCCACAAAUAAGAAGUCAAACGGUUCUAAAGCUGGGAUGUUUAAGCCUUUUCUAGACUAAUAUAGAUAACUCUUCAGAAAUACAACUCUCUGUGUCUAGCUUUGCAUCUAGAUCUGUCACCUGCGUAUUUUACAAGUGGAAAUCCAUUCCUCAUUAACCCCUUUUAUGGAUAUGACCACAAUUUUUGGUCCCGGAAUUUUUUUUGUUCCCAACUCCAUUGGCGAUUCAACAUCGGAAAAGUUUUCAAAUUUGGUUUCUUAAAAUACUAUGCACUAAUACCAUAUGUGAACAUUCCUCUUUAAAUACAUACUGCUUUUAACAGUAUUCAUGACAUUGUAAGGAUUCCAAAGAAAGGAUCCCAAAAGGAGUGAGUUAGUUGAAAUAGUAAUCAGUUCUGCAUAUUUUGCCCUUUUAGUUCUGAAACAUAUGUCACACACCAUAAUUCUUCAUUAUAUGUUCUGAAAAGUGCAUUGAUUAUUCCUCCAUUAUCCUUGAAUUUCUUGAUUGCUUUAUCAAAAUUGUACACUUUAUAUUGACCCUCUGCAUGGCAUUAGCUGACUUUAUUGCAAGAGGACACACACCGAUAUCUAGUUAUAAAAGGAAAUUGAACAUAUCAGCCUUUAAACUGUGUACCAAAAAGCAUCCACCUUCUUCCUCUGUACGUGACUCUGGGACUUUCACUUGAACAGUUGUUGAAUUAAUUAAUAAGUCGAGGUUAGUUGUUACAGGUCAUGUAUCUCACUGCUAAUUUGGAAAAAAACAGAUAUGCUUCCAUUGUUUAGUUUUUUUAGAAAGUAAAUGUUGCCAUUUCUUCAGUAAAAGCUAUUUUGUCGGUUUUAUAAUGGAAUACGUGAUCUAGCUAAAAUAACUUUUUUUUUUUAAUCAUUAUGUUAUAUAACAUCCCUCUGUUAUGAAUAUGUGUAUAUACACAUCAGGGUUGCUUUAUUCGCGUUUAUAAUGUAUUGCAUUUCACAGCAGUUGGAAUAACAGGGAACACACCAUCUGCUGUGGAACAAAAGUGCUAUUUCUUUCAUUUUUAAAGUAGAAUAAAAUAUAAUUUGUUUCUACUGACUUAUAAGGAUAGAUAUCUGUGAAGUAUGCGUGAACAGAAUAUAAGUCCAUUUUGAGGUUGUAGAGACAUUCAUGAACCCCUUAUUUGUGUAGUUACAGUUCUGUCCACUAAUAUUGUCACACUUGUAAAUAUGAGCAAAGAAGGUUUUGGAAAAAUUGUCUUUAUUGUUUAACCUUUUGCUCAAAAAAUGCACAUAAAUCCUCUAUCAUGGGCAUCAAACAAUUGCAACACAACACAGGUUUAUAAAAUAAAAAACAUCUUUAUGGGUGGCACAAUAUACGUGAGGGCACUGUAUGUUGGCAUGGUACUGAAAUAAGGUGACUUUAUCUGGAUAAAUAGUAACCUAAAAAACAAGAAAAACAAAAAACAACUCAAGUAUAAGUACGGGAAAAAAACAGGCAACACAGAGUAUUAGGUAAAAUUAUUUAACUAUUCAAUGAUAUUCAUGAUACAUCAUGCAGUAAUGUAAGAACAAAUAAACUCUGAAAAGGAUAAUGCAAUAAACAAAAUUAAUACAGAAAAGUGAUACUUAAAAUGGCACUGUCCACCCAAGGUGACAUGUUUGCUUGCAUGGAGGCACUUGGCGGUGGGGAUACGUAAGGAAUUAUACUUAUCUGAUCCUAUCCCUUCUCAGUGCUGCCAUUUUUCUUCUGCUCCUGUGGUUUUCACCUGCCAGGAGCCACAAUGGUCAUGUACUCUCAGUCAUGUGCAAGACUGCAAACCAUAAUCUAUCAAAGAUCCCGUGAGACCAUUGGAUCUAUAGAAUAUUUCAUAUUAUGUGGGUAUUUUUCUUACAUACUCCAAAUAUUAGUAGGGAUGCUGACUGAGUGAUAUGUAACAAAUGGGUGUACGUGACAUGGCUCUGUCUAUUUAUGAGAUUCAUGGAACAUAAACUAUAUAACUAUGAAAUGACCACGAAGGCAGUAUAGUAUGUAUAAAUGCUGUUGUAAUUUUCCCACAGGAUCUUCCAUAGAUCUUCUAAAGCAAGCUCCGUAAGAUUUUAUAGGCAUCUAUUUUGCAUUGGUAGCAUUACCCAUUUUCCUAUUUUGCCAAAACAAUGAUGCUGCAUAAGAUGAACUUUAUAAAGUUAAAGCUCUGCUUUAAUUAAACAAUGCAAGGCAGAGGUGGACAGAAUUAGCUUCUGGUACCCAGGGAUAGGUCUGGCCAGCCUCUAUUACACAGGAACGGAUCUGGCAAGGUCUUUGUUAAACAGGAACAGCCACUGACACACUUUCUCAGUCUUCUAUAUUGACCUCUGCUUCCACCUUAUUCUAAGUUCUAGGUUUAGAUGAUUUAUUGGGAUUUAAAGGAAUGCUAUUGUGCUUGGAAUACAUACAUGUAUCCCUAACACUAUAGUGCUGAAGUCCAUGUUUAGGUGUCUAGUCCUUCGCUUUGUGGAGUAUAAAUGUGUUACUCCCCAAGACCUCACUCACCCUAUGAAGGUCAAUAUUGCCCCCAUAUUGUUGUAAGUGAGGUUUAAAUCUUUAUGGAUUUUUAUGUGGUUCAAGAAAAGAAGAUGGAAGAAUAAAAAAGACAUCUAAUGGUAAGUAUUCAUUUUUAUUUUACAUUUCUUUCAUUUACUUGCCCUCCCUUCACUUUUAUUGUGGUGAGAGGGGUAAAAAUUGUCUUUUCUAAGUUGGUUGACUAGGGGCUUGAGAACCCCUGCUCUACCCCCCCUCCCCCCCCAUUUAUUUAGGACCACCACCCACUUCCAAUAGGUGGGGGACAAAAUGGCUACACCUCAUUUUAAUGCUUACUUGCUAAACCAUUUACGGUUAUGAUACGUGGAGUAACCUUUUAACUAUAUCGGUCUUAAAUUUAUCAUUCAGAUUUCAGUUCAUACAAUUCAACAUUCUUUCUGGAAACACUUCUUCUAUAAUAUUACGUUUGGUUUUAUGUGUCACUUGUAGUGUCAUGGCACAGUUCCAUAAUGUGUUCCACUAGUUUGUGCUGGUUUCCUCAAAAGGAAAUAGUCUCCCUGGGAACGAGAGUUAUAUUUUUAUAAGCAUAACUAAUAACCCACACUGACAACACUUUAAACAUGUUAUGAAUAAUUAUUUUGGGUUUUAAUUGUGUAAAUGGCUUAAUUUAUUUCUAUAUCCUCACUACUAGGUACAAAGGACAUCUCCCUGUAAGGCAGUGAUUGUCAUUAUCACUACAUUCUACGUUUUUUAUUUUUAUUUUAUUUAAUCAAAGUUUUCACAAAAAAUAUUUUCCUCUUUAUUUAACAUACUGUGGCAUCAUAUAUAGACCUGUAAUAAUAUAAGCAAAAGGAAAAAAAAGACACAUUACUAUUAUUAUUAUUAUUGCCACUUAUAUGGCGCCAACAGAUUCCAUAGCGCUUUAAAAUAUUAUGAGAGGUGGGUUUAACUAUAAUUAGGACAAUUAUAAGAAAACUUACAGGAAAGAUAGGUUGAAGAGGACCCUGCUCAGACAAGCUUACAGUCUAUAGGAGGUGGGGUAUAAAACACAUAAGGAUAGGAAAUAGCAAUCAAAUAAGGUGGGAGUGAAGCAGAGCUGGAGGAGAGAGUAAAGUGCUGCCCUUUAGGAGAGCGCAAGAGACAGGUAUGUAAGGUCGAGGUUACUCUGGGAGGCCAUAAGCUUUCCUAAAGAGAUGGGUUUUAAGGCACUUCCUAAAAGAUGCAAGUCUAGGGGAGAGUCUGAUGGUGGUAGGUAGGCACCCACGAGAAGUCCUACAAGCGUAAGUUGGCCGUAUGGAUGCGAGCAGCAGACAGGAAAAGGUCCCGGGCAGAGGAGAGAGACCGAGAAGGGGCAUACCUAUGGAUCUGUGAAGAGAUAUAAGAGGGGCUAGAAUUGUUCAGUGCUUUGGUUAUGGGUUAGCACUUUGAGUUGACUUCUGUAGGAUACAGGAAGCCAAUGUAAGGACUGACAGAGGGGUGAGGUGUGAGAGGACUGACUAGAGAGGAAAAUCAGUCUGGCGGCAGCAUUCAUUACAGACUGUAGCGGGGCAAUACAGCUUAUGUGAAGACCAAUUAGGAGAGGCUUACAAUAAUCCAGGUGGGAAAUUACUAGAGCAUGGACAAGCUCCUUGGUAGCAUCUUGUGUAAGAAAGGGGUGGAUGCGGGCUAUGUUUGUAAGAUGGAAUCUGCAGGAUUUGGCAACAUACUGGAUGUAAGGCUCAAAGGUGAGGCCAGAAUCAAGUAUGAUGCCAAGACAGUGCGCUUGCAAGGAUGGACUUAUGUGGAUACCACUAACUUGAAUGGAGAGCGAAAGAGGAGAAUCAGUACUACAUUUUUUAAUUGUCAUAAAAUAUUUUUCUGCCUAAACAGAUGCUUUUUUGUUUAGCUUUCAAUUAUUUUUUAAAAAUUAGUUUAUACAUAUGGGAAAGAUCACUCUCGCAAUUUAAUAAUUUUUGAGGCUAAUGAAUCCUUUGUUUCUUUUUCUGUCUAUAUAUGAUUUAUUGCAUAUGUAAUACAUGUAUCAAGCUCUGGGGACAUCUGGUGGAACUGGACUAACUUUCUGCUACUUGGCAUUUAUUCCUACAGAAUAAAUUUAAAAAAAACAAACAAAGGAAGCACAUUAAAAUAAAUCAUGAAAUGAAUGCUUCUGGUGUUGCAAUAAUCUCCACUCGUGUAUCCAUCAUACAGGCUGAAAAACAAAACAAAACCAUAAUAGUGAUGAACAUUUAUAUAUCUUACCGAUCAUCCACCAUACUCUUGAUGGCUAUGGUGCUUUGGAAUGGAAAUUCUUCCAUGACUCAUCUUUGGGAGUUAUAAAGAAAGAGAAAAAGUAUGACAAUGUACAAAUGUAAGAGAGUAAGUGUAUUCUAAAUGAUUGAACAGGCUUACAUCUAAAUUACACAAAGCUCGCAUAUAAUAUAAAAAAUACUGGUCUGUAAACAAUUCCAAUAAUGUUAUGCAGGAGGAUGCCAAUAAGGUGUCCAGUUCUGGAUCUCCAUACUUUAGCUCCACUUUGUGUAAUGUCAGAGCUGAAUGUUUCUCAUGAAAUGUUUCUUCUAAGCUCAUCCUUCUUCUCUAGUCUCCCAGCUCUGCUUUUUUGAUUCUGCAAGAAAGAUCUCUCAGAAACACGUCUCACAGGGUUCUUCACUAAAUAGGGAAUUCAAAGUCAAUUCAAAUUGAAUUUCAAAUUGAGGGCCAGAGUAGCCAUACUGAAAGCACAACAGACUUUAAGAACUUUUCCAUUUUGACUAUUUUGACCUUACAUUUGAAAUUCACUUUGUAUUUUAACUUUAAUGAAUAAUCCUACCAGAGCGUAGAUACCUCUACAAAUCAUAAAUACUAGAUAUCAAUAACACAGUUGUACUUACUUCGGUAGGGAGAAGCUGUACUGCAAUGUUUAUUCUGAUAUACCUACAAUAUAAAUAUGAGUUUUUUUAAUUUUCGCUAUACUUGACUAUCAUCAGUUUUACUGUCAAUGUCUCAGAAUGGCCAGACUUAAUGCAAAACCUUUGUACUAUAUAUAGUUGGGACAAAAUAAGCAGGUGUUUGUAACAGUGUGUUUAUUAGUCUUCGUCUAUAUCGAUUUGAAUUAUUUAGGUUUUAACUUCUCUUUUUUUUUUUGGCCUACAGUUCAUUAGCAAAUGUCAGCUUUUUUGGUAUCUCCCCAAUUUUUUAUUUUAUUUUUUUUUGACAAUCUUUAUUUUCCAUUUCACGUUUGAAAAACAACAAUGUCGAAGAACAUUUUGCAUUAUUACAUCUCAACUGUCAGUAUACAAACAAAAUUUUUUCACUCCUGUAGUCAGGUACUUAUACUGUGAAAUGAUGGGAGGAGAGGAAGUAUGUCUGAUCCCUUGCGAGAACCCACUGGAUGUCAGACAAGGUUGUCUGGCAUUUGUGUUAGCAUUUUGGUUGUACUAUGUUACAGUCAUCAUGUUCCCUUUUAUCGCUUGACAAUUAUAUUGUUGAGCAUGAUAUAGAGCUACAGUAGCGAAAAAACAUUUAGUGCCUUCACACCUCCAAAGUCUACAAGCAAUUAUUUACAAUCAGGCCAUCAGAUCACUUGGGUGAGAGCCAAGUGUGGUGUUUUAGAUAAAGUUUUCCUCUACUGUGGGUAGGCAGUUGUCCGUGAGUAUAUUUGUAUGCUUAUCGGUAUGGCUCGGCAUAUGGAAGGGUACGCUGGAUACCAGUCAAGGUAGUCAGGCGGUAUGUUGUCAUGCCGGUAUCAACAUUAUAUUUGGUCUCGAUUCCCUGUGUGUUCUGCUCCUGUGCUUACAAUGAGUGUGUAUAUAAAUAUGCCCCUUAUGCGGGCUCGUCAGCGUCAGUCGUUCGGGGUUCGGUCUGGUGUCCAGUCAUGGAAAGGGGGCGGGAGGUAAGAGACACAGGGAAUAGGGGUAGAUGGGUAGCUUAGCUCUGUAUGAGUCGGCUUUCUGCGGGCCUCUGGGGAGCCAUGCUUGGGUUUGCUGAUCUGUUGGCUAGGUAUGUUGCCCAAGGGUGCCAGGUCAGUGCACACUGCUCCUGCCUACCAUGGAGGUCUGCAGUUAGGGAUUCCAUUGAGUGGAUAUCUCCCAAUUUUUUUUUUUUAACAUUCUUUAUUUUUGAGUUUUGAAAGCAUUACAUGUAGUCGGUCUGAAUACUGGUUAAUUAAUAAAAACAUUAUUAAUUCCUCAAAGGAAAGAAUGAAAGGGAGACCCCUAUCCACCAGGCAGAGACCUUAAUUCACAAUAUAUCAGGUAGGCCAUUAACUCCCCUAGAAGAAAAUACAUUAAACAAAGGACUUUCAUUUGUCCCGGCCCAUAAACCCCUCUGGCACGAUUAUAAUGUUGCUUUGUACAGAUUCUUUAUACAGUUGAAAUUAAAAUCUUAUUUUUCACCAGCAGAAGGUGGAGAACCACAGGUAACAUCUACUAUGAUCAAUGUCCCAACUUUAUCAUCACAAAGCACUUUACAGGAAGGGGGUGAUAAUGAACCGUGAUUACUAUAUAAAUGAAAUUAAGGCUCAGCUUAGCGAGACUACUAAUUAUCUCCCUAAUUAUAGAGAUCCAUCCCACAGUUGGAAAAUUGCACUUCAAAAAAUUAAUGAAAAGGCUAGAACUGAAGGUAUUAUUACAGAGGGGGGAUAUAGAUACAUGAAUUGGAGAUAUUCGGCUACCCCGAAUCACCUCCCCACUGGUGUAUCAAUCAUGUUUUUUACACAUUGCCCAAAACUCACAAAAAUCCUCAAUUUCCACUAGGCAGACCCAUAGUGAGCGGGACAGGAUCCAUAUUGCAACCUCCAGCAGAGAGAUUCUAGAUAAGUUCUUGAUAAAAUAUAUAUCCACUCAAAAAACAUAUAUCAAGUACACUACGGGGUUUCUGAGAUUAAUAGAAGGUUUUUCCCUGAGGGAAAUUAGGAUUUAUGGUUGGUAUCCUUGAAUGUGCAAGCCUUAUAUACCACAAAGGUGGUAUACACGCAGUGGACUGGACACUAGGCAGAGAUCAGGAGAUAGCACAAUUCACACACACUAGGCAGUACAUAUUGGAUAUAUUGAGAAUUGUGUUGACUGAAAACAAUUUUCUCUUUGAAGAUCAAUUUUAUAAACAAAUUAAGGGUACGGCAGUGGGUUCUAAUGUAGCCCCAACAUAUGCUAAUAUAUUUAUAAACUGCUUGGAAGAAAUGGGCAUUUACCAACUGCUUCUAUUCUCCUGUUGUUUAUUAUGGAAGAGGUUUAUUGAUGAUAUUUUGUAUGUACAAAAAUACAAUUGGACAAUUUUUUUCAACAGCUUAACCAAUUAGACCCCAAUAUAAUUUUUACUAUGACUUGUAACAGAUACACUAUACAGCUUUUGGAUGCCCAGAUCUAAAGAAUGGAUGAUAGAUUACAUAGUGACCUGUACACCAAACCAACAGAUAGGAACAAUUAACUGACAUAUAAUAGAUCAUGCACAACACCUUAGGGAUGGUCUUCCACAUAGCCAACAAUUACAUGUACGCAGAAUAGUGUCGCAAGAGGAUAAGGUCCAAACUGGAUUUGAUUACAUGUGUAAUAAGUUCAUUAUACAUGGAUACACUGUGGAAUUAGUCAACAAACAACAUCAGCGAGUAAACUUAACUAGAGAACAAGUACUCCUAUAAUACUAAAGAUAGGACUAACAAUACUAGGAUUCCCAUCAUCUCACCAUAUAUUCCAGUAAAUAAAGAACUGCGAAAAAUAAUAUUGAGGCAUUGGAAAAUAUUUGAGGGCAAUGAACAUUUACCCGUGGAAUUUAAGAAUGCUCCCAUAUUUACGUAUCAGAGAGCUAAGAAUUUAAAAGAUCACUUAGUUAAGUCAGAUAUUGGCAGCAAAAAGAAGCAACAAAAGUUUUUUCUGAACCAAAGAAAGGGACAUUCCCUUGUUUAGACUGUAUACACUGUAACAGUGUAAUCAAGGGAGAUUGUUUUGUUCACCCACACUCUGGUAAAAGAUAUCAGAUCAACAACUACUAUACAUGUAUGUCAGAUCAUGUGGUAUAUUUACUGAAGUGUCUGUGUGGUUUGAUCUAUGUGGGAGAAACCAUAAGACCUGUAAAGGAGCGUAUUGGAGAACAUAAAUGGGGUAUUAGAGAAGAAUUAUCAGGAAGCACUAGUGAAGCACCAGUACCCAGGCACUUUAAACAACAUGGUCAUAGUGUCAACCAGUUGCGCUUCCAGGUCAUAGACAGCGUCCCUCCUUUAUGGAGGGGAGGCGAUAGACAGCGUCUAUUGCUACAAAAGGAGACAAAGUGGAUUAGCACAUUAGAGACUUUGCAUUUUAUGGGGCUCAAUGAAGACUAUGACCCUAAACACUAUCUAUGAAACACUUGAAUAAGGAAUUGGGUUUGUCUCCCAUUAUUGGAGGGACAACCUAUAUAGGAUUCUUCACUUUUGCUUUUUAACAAAUAUUCUUCCUGUAGCCUAUUAUGCUGUUUGUUUAAUACUCAAGGAUGUAUAAUUAAAGAAUAUUUUUUUAAUUUUUCUUCAGCUUCUAAUCUAGUGCCUUAUAGGCUGAUUUUCCAUAUAUUUGCUCCUCUUUCUACUUAUACCAGAUUGACCAGGUUUGGUCCGAUACCUGCCUUAUAUACAGGUUCCCACAUGGGUUCCCACAGGUAUUUCAUACACAACACUGCUGGUGAGUACUUGUACUAGUUCCUUUAAGGAAUCACUGUGAUGUUGAUCCAAAUUAUCAAUAUAUUUUUCUACACUUUUUUUCUUUUUUUCCUUAUUUUUUUCUUAUUUUUCUCCUUUUUACGAUUUUCUUUUCACGAUAUUUUUUACAUUAUUUGUUUCUUUUUGUAUUUCCCUUUUCAAUUUUAUUAUUUAUUUAUAAUUUUUAGAUUUCUUAUUUUUUUAAAUUAUAUUAUUAUUUUUUUCAUUCAUUAUCUUUCACUAUUAAUAAUCUUUUUUAUUUCUUAAACAGGUCCUUAUUUGUCAUCAACUUUUUUUGAUUCCUCAAUUUUUAUUGUAUUUUUCUAUUUUUCAUUUUUUUUAAUUUUUCCAUAUUAGUAUUUCUCACAUAUUUUCAAUAAGUUCUAUAAAGUAUUUUUUCCCUCUCCACUGGUGUAUCAAUCAUUACCAGCUAAAAUAAUUUUUUACUUCAUUAUUGCCUCUGGCUCCCCAUUUCCCUAUAUAGGAGAUCCCUACUCCCUGUAUUAAUUAUUCUAAAUCAGUUAUAAAUAAAGCAAAGUUAUUUAUUUAUAAAAUAUUUAUUUAUAAAAUAUUUUACCAGGAAAGAUACAUUGAGAUUUCUCUCGUUUUAAAGUAUGUCCUGGGUCCACAAAUCAUUGCAUUGUUACAUUAGGGUACAAUAAAAUACAACAACAAUAUUAAUACACAAUAAAUACAAAAUUUAACAUAGAACAGGUAGGAAAUAUAUAAUCAACCAUGACAGGUGCAUUCUGUUUUGAGGUAUGUAGAGAGGGAUCUCUUAAAGGACUUUAGGCUUAGGGAUGAUUUUAAAUUUGUGCGGGAGGUCGUUCCACAAUUGCGGUGCUCUGUAGGAGAAGGAGGAUCAGGCCGUUUUCUUUUUGUAUUGAGAUAGACUAAGUAAAGUGUUGGUACUGGAUCGGAGCUUAUAGGAAGUGGGAACAGCUGGGGAAAGCAUUUUGUUCAGUUAGGGUGGGAGUUUCCCAGAAAAGCUCUUAAACACAAGGCUGGAAAGAUGAAGAGUGCAUUAGGAUUCCAGCGACAGCCAGUUUAGUGCCUUUAGCAUGUCACAAUGGUGGGUCCUGUAAUUACAUUGUAGCACAAGUCGGCAGAACGAGUUAUACAAUGUGUUGAGUAUCAUGUUUUAUGUGUGUAUAUAUUCUUUUAAUUGUGUCCUUUUUGGUUUUGUUUAUUGUAAAUAAAGUUUAUCAUACAGACGCAUGACGUCACCACAGGUAUGUAAUGACAAGCAUGUAUGCAUUUGGCAAGGAUCUCCAUUACAUGUCGUCAUGCCCCGUUGGAAUGCUAUACAGGGGACGUGCCCUGCCACGAAUGGUGCCAUGUGAAUCGGCUUUAAAUAGCCCUACUCUUUUAUUCACCGCCAGGGUUUUCGAAGGGAUGGUGAUCCCAAGCGCUCAGCCCCCUGGUGAUCUGAACCUGAACCUGAACGUCAUCUUUUGGGGAGAUCUAACCAUUUUUAAAAAUGUUUUAUUUUUUUUGAGUAUUCAGAAAAUCUACUAAAGAGUGACUUUCUUUUUGUAUGUUUUUACUGUUUUUUUUAAGCUGCAAACUUGUGUAUUUCAUAUGUUUUCCUUAUUUUUUCUACUUUUUUCAUUUUUCCUUUUUCCAGUCUUUUUUUCUUUUUUAAGGCCUUGGAGUUGCCUAAGAGAGUUAUACCCAUAGUACCAAACAAUUCAAGUAUACAGUGGACCCAGGACAUACUUGAAAACAAGAGAAAUCUCAAUGUAUCCAUCCUGGUAAAAUAUUUUAUAAAUAAAUAAAUAUUACUGUAGGAGAUACCUCUCAAUACACAUUAUAGUAUGUACCUUUGAUGUGGUCAGGAUUCAAGACAUUGUUUGUCCAUUUAGUCUAAUUAUGAAUUGCUUUUUUUGACUGGUGUGUGUGUGUGUGUGUGUGUGUGUGUAUAUAUAUAUAUAUAUAUAUAUAUAUGGAUUAUGCCUUUUAUUUUGUACAUAAUAUGAAUUCAGGUUUUUCUAUUUCACAAGUGUAUGAAGUGAUGCGCUAUUAAUUGCCUCUGAUUUUAUCUAUAAUUUGAAUUAAAACCUCCUUAUAUUUUAAGCAUUAGUUUUUUGGAGUGUGGUAUCAUUUAUUUGUUUUUGUAUUAAUGCCUCAAACCCUACUUUGUAUUUUGGCCCAUCCUGUGUAUUAAAGUUCAUUAUUUAUAACUGGUAAAUAUAUAUGAAUGUCAUCCUAUAUUUUAGUAGGAUCCUACAUAUCACUGACAUGGAAAAUCUACACACAAAACCAGUUUGAGGCAUUUUGCCAGUUAACCUGUGGAUAAGUGGGGAUGAUUUUUGUCCCUUUGAGUACUGGAGUUGAUAACACAAUGGUUUACCCAACCUGCCAGUCCCACUGCUAUCUGCUACUUGUAAUAUUUAGUGAUUCCUACACUGAUGGGAUUCUAUUACUGCAAUGUUUACACUGUAAGAUUGUAGUUGUAUUGUUUGCUUAGGAAGAAUGACCAUGUAUCUGAUCUCUGAUCUUUAUUCCUAGGCACCACGGGGAGAUAAAAAGAAAUUGGUUUUCUACAUGUGUCCUGUAGGGUAAAUAAACAUAGAAGAAUAGACUGAAUAAACAGAGCAAUGUUAACACUUUGGGUUCCUCUACGGACAUUAAUAAACCCAGCUACAUUAUACUGUCUUAUGCUAUAAAGUUUGUCUGUACUCUUGUGCACAAUACAUUCCUUUUUUUAAAGUUUGUUUGCCUAUAGUCUGUCUGUACGUGGGAUUCGGAAAAUAAAGUCACAGACCAUGCAACUUGUUUAGAAAAGUUAAAAAGACUGUCUGAUCACUGUAACGAUCUGUGAACUCUGCUUAUAUGCACUUGAACUAUAAAGAAAGACAGAAAACAGAGACAAAACAAUGACAGAGGCAGGGGUAUAUUUAAACAUUGGCCUUGUGCCCAUCUUGGGGGUAUCAGAAUAAUUGUUUUAUUUUUAAUGUAAAUCUUAUAUAUGUUUGAUCUUUUUUACGUUAUGCAGUUGCUUAUCAGAGUUGAUGCAUGGUUUCCCUAUAGACAACAAUGCUAACUUCUAGUGCUGUGCAGUGAUUUAAAAAAGGAUGCUGGGCAGUUAGAGGUUAAUGCAACAUAGGUGGAGCAGAGAGUUACUAACUAGUAACCCCCUACCUUCUGUGUUUCUUCGUUAACAGGCAGUGAAUGCUGGGACAUAAGUUUAUCAUUCCUGUCAGCUCCCUUACCCUUCGCUUCACCGCUGACUGCUAAUGUCACUGCCAAUCACUGUUCCUUAUCUCUAACCUCAGCUGAGCUGGUUGGAAAGUUGACUGUACAUGUGGGUAUAUGUGUUUGCUGCUUGUGUGCGUAUGCGUCCAUGAUUGUGUUUAAUGCUUAUGCGCGAAUGGAUGGUAAGAAGCUUUGGAUACACUUGAACUAUGCGAGACGUUACUUCUGGGUGACGCUCACGACCAGCAUUACAUGACUGACAUAAUGGAUGGCGAUUACGAAGCGUCACAUUUCAUGUGACGUUCGAAAGUACAAUUAAGUACUAUUGGUGUUUAAAGACCACUAAUGAGUUUAUGUAUAUAGUAUCUAACCCUCAUGACAUCACUUCUUGGAAUAAUUACAAACCGGAAGUACUAAUGGAAGCCAAUGGAAAUGUUCCAAUCACACCUGUUAUCAUUAAUUGUAUUAACAUGUUACCUAUAUAAACAGGCACUAUGCAUUACCACACCACACUUCGGAUGAAACCCCAAGUUGAAAUGCGUAAAGCGUAGUUUUACCAUUUAUUUGGGUUGUUUUAAAUACUUUUUUGUUUUGGUUGUAAUAAAGUUAUUCCUUUGUAAAUUAAAUAUAUUUUGAAUUAAUUUUGGCUUGCACUUUUUACUACUUUGGCUUCCUGAUUACAUAUAUCCUUGGUUGUGAUUGUUCCACCAAAACGCUUCAAUACUAUAACAGGUCCAUGCUCUAUCCCAUGUGAGUAGUGUACUUACUUUUAUUUUGUGACCAGUCACUUUACUAUACAUAUUGCACUAUAGGAUUUUUCACACUUUUAUUUUUACAUACUUGAUAUCUUGGAAAAUACACAUUCAGCACUGCUGAAUAUAAAUUCCGUGACGGGAAUUAUGCCGUCUAUGUCCAAUACAGCAGAGCUCUUCGUAGCUCAGAAAACUGUGAGUGUGCAAUCAUCACAAUAUUGUACUUAAUUUAAAAUUAAAAACAUACUGCACCAUUACUGUUCUAUUUCUCUUUUUUUUUUUAGAUACUUGGUAUUUUGUUAUGAACCUAAAAGACCAUGACAAUAUAUGUAUUUAUAUAUGUUCUAUAUGUGAUUUUCACUUAAAGGGUUACAGUACUAUUUAAGCGUGGGACAUCCACUUUGUUUUGAUUGUUGUUUUUUCAUAAUAUUUUGGGAAACCUUGUAGGAUUGACUGCUGCUGCUAUAGUAUAUUGUGAGCGCCUAUUUUUGCAUUGCUAUUUCUAACGUACCACAUAUUUCAAUGACACAAGCUCUUAUCUCAUUUGUGUGUGCCGGCGUGUAACAAGCGGUAAACAUCAUUGUUAUUUUUCCAUACUCUGGGGUGGGUAUUGAUCGAAUUAUUCCAAUGAGCCUUCAGCAUCUCUUAAUAUUGAUAGAUGACUGAGUGAGUGUCAUAUCAUACUAUUAAAUAAGACAUAAGAGUCAUAUGUAUAUCAUGAAAUUAUCUCAAUAAUAAUUGAUCAAAUAUUUGUGCUAAAAUCAGGGUUUUAUACAUAAUUGUUGCAAUUUGUAAAAUCUGUGGAAAUGCCAAAUUCUGUUCUGGAAAAUCUCUUUUCAGAAGAAGGAAAUUUGCGGAUUUGCUAAUAGUGCUCUAUUUUUUUUUUUUAAUAUGUAAAAGUAAAGGUGUCUACAAAAUGUCUCACCACACUGUGUUUAAUGAAAAUGAUUUUUUUUUAUGUUCCAUAAAUUAUCUUUUUAAUUGUUAUUAUAGUGGCUUUCUGCAUAAUUCAUCCCAUAUUUGCAAGUACCUGAAUAGACAACAUAUGUGCAACUACAAUUUAUAUAAGUGCCAAUUAAUUGGUUUUCCCUGAAGGGACUUUGAAAGGUAUUUGCCUGCUUUGUAUAAAUGAGCAUAAAGUUAAUUUAUGAGUGGCGCAUACUGCAAAAAUGGUUUGCUUUAAUAAUCACUAAAAAACACAACUAAAUACUUCCACCAAUCAAAUGAAGUUAAAAUAAUAGUAUUUCAGCAUAGCACUGUCUCAGUAAGCGGUCAGGAGGUGGCCCGUGACCACCUCCUGACCGCUGCUCGCAACCGUACGGCCAACUCGCGCUUGCAGGACUUCUCGCGGGCGGCUCCUCUCCUAUGGAAUAGCUUGCCUACUGCCAUCAGACUCUCCCCUAGUCUUCAAUCAUUUAAGAAGGGCCUUAAAACCCAUCUCUUCAGGAAAGCUUAUGGCCUCCCAGAGUAAUCUCUACCUUACAUACCUGCCUCCUGCUCUCUCCUGUGGGACAGUGCUUUGCUCUCUCCUCCAGCUCUGCUUCACUCCUACUUGAUAUUUAUUGUCCUAAUGUUUCAAACACCCCACCUCCUAUAGUCUGUAAGCUCGUUUGAGCAGGGUCCUCUUCAACCUAUUGUUCCUGUAAGUUUUCUUGUAAUUGUCCUAUUUAUUGUUACACCCCCCCUCUCAAACUAUUGUAAAGCGCUACGGAAUCCGUUGGCGCUAUAUAAAUGGCAAUAAUAAUAAUAAUAAUAAUAAUGUAGCAUCUACUAGAUAUGUUUUGCAAGUAUAGAUGCUGAAAGAUAAGAGAAAAUGCAGAUACAAAGUAUCAACCUCAUAACCAGAAUUUCCCAGCAUAAUUGCUCUGAAAGUGAAAUACAUGCAGGGAAACAAUAUGUAGACACACCACCAGCAACACUAUAUGUACGAACAUUCCAAGCCUCCCUCACAGUAAGAAUAGAGAAGUCUGUCCUCCUUUAAAGUCGGACUUUCCCAAUAGUAAUUAGCCUUUCAUCAAUUAAAUAAUACAGUGAGAGAUAAAUAGAUUUCAAGUCUCCUUCAUCAUGAUCAUUGUGAUCACGAGUAUGAGGGAGGAUUGGCUUUAACGUUAUGAUGAUAGGAGUACCAUUUCCUUGGCAAUGGGACAAGCAGUUUUGUAAUGGUUUACUUCUUUUACCAGAGUCCAGCGCUGAGUUUCCCUCGAUGCUGAGUUUCCCUCAGUGCUGAGUUCUGUAGAACUCCGCUGUGAAAUCUGUCAGUUAUUGGCUGAGAGAGUCAUCUGUGUGCUGUCAGCCAAUGAGUGAGUGUCUGUGCACAGGAUAUGCACAGAAGUGACAUUAGCCAGCCUGACACACUCGUCCUCUGUUCUUUAAUACCCUUCUUCGAACAACUACAUUUAUUUAUGUGACAGUUUUAGGGUGUAAUUGUUCACUUUUUUUAAAAGAGAAAAAAAAUAAAACAUUCAGCCCUUAUGCUAGUUGAAUUUUAAACAACGGCCUUGUCAUUUGGGACAUAAGUACGAAACUUCCAAAUUUUAAAACUAAACUGGCCUGUUCAUAGCAGUUAUGGUAAAAAUCACAUGGGUUUAUUUAGAAUAGAGACUGUUGGACCAGAUUCUAUGUUUUAUUUUGCAGUCUCUGAAAACUUGAAUGUACUGUUAAUGAAUCGAUGGAUUUUUAAAUACAAGAAUUCAAAAGCAAACAGUAUCAGCAUUCCCAAAUAUACCAGAAGAUUCAUUACAAAUAAAGCAAAUAAAAUGCCAGUCGAAGAAUGCCCUACUCUUUGGAAUUAGUACAUAUGGC